rnacentral:rRNA from 1 species
AGGACGAACGCUGGCGGCGUGCUUAACACAUGCAAGUCGAACGGAAAGGCCCCUUCGGGGGUACUCGAGUGGCGAACGGGUGAGUAACACGUGGGCAACCUGCCCCUAGCUCUGGGAUAACUCCGGGAAACCGGUGCUAAUACCGGAUAUUAACCUUGACGGGCAUCCGACGAGGUUGAAAGUUUUUCGGCUAGGGAUGGGCCCGCGGCCUAUCAGCUUGUUGGUGGGGUAAUGGCCUACCAAGGCGACGACGGGUAGCC